AUGCGCGCCCUCCAGGGUCUGCGGGGGCCUCGGGCGCCGUCCCUGCCGCUGCUCCUCCUGUGCUUCCUCGCCGCGGUGCGCCGGAGCUUGGAGGACGGCCUCUCCACAGCUGCACCUAUUACAAGUCUACCUGUCGAGGAAGAAAUGAUGACAAAGGCUGCACCUAUUACAAGUCUGCCUGUCCAGGAAGAAAUGAAGACAAAGGCUGUACCUAUUAUAAGUCUGCCUGUCCAGGAAGAAAUGACGACAAAAUACUCUAACCUUACCUUGGAGAGUCAUAGCAUAUCAAUGACUGCUAUGCCUAUGAAAGAAAAUAAUAAAGGGAACCAAAUCUGUGUUGACAGAGGAAUAAUGCUUCAAAGGAAUGUUACAUUAGAACGCCCCAAUAUGCCAGCAGAAAAAAAUAUCACUUUAGAAAGACCUUCUAAUGUAGAACUCACAUGCCAAUUCACACCAUCUGGAAAUUUGAAUGCAGUAAAUGUGACUUGGAAAAAAGGUGAUAAACUACUUGAGGAUAAUUAUCUCGUCAAUGCAACGGGAAGUAUCCUAUAUACCCAAUAUAGGGUCGCCGUCAUUAACAGCAAACAGAUGGGAAGCUAUUCUUGUUUCUUUGGAGAGAAAAAGCAACAAAGGGGCACAUUUAAUUUGAAAGUUCCUGAAAUUAAUGGAAAAAACAAACCACUGAUCACUUACGUGGGGGAUACAGUUGUUUUGAUAUGUAAAUGUCAAGAUUGUCUUCCUUUAAAUUGGACCUGGUACAGUGGCAAUGGGAGUGUACAGGUUCCUAUUGGUGUUCCAGUGAAUGAUAAGUAUGUGAUCAGUGGAAAACAUGCUAAUGAAACAAGGCUGAAGAUAACGCAACUUUCAGAGGACGAUCAGGGAACCUACUGGUGCCAUGCAAUAUUCGAGUUAGGGGAGAGUGAAGGACACGUUGAACUCGUCGUGCUCAGCUAUUUGGUACCCCUUAAAGCAUUUUGUGCAAUAGCUGCCGAGGUUGUUCUCUUAGUGGCUAUUAUUCUGCUUUUUGAAAUGUAUACUCAAAAGAAAAAGAAGCCCUCAGAUGAUGGGAAAGAAAUCGAACAAGGUGAACAGCUGAAAUUGGAUGAUAGCAAUGGUAUAGAAAACAGCGGCCCUAGGCACAGAAAAAAUGUAAGUUGCUUCCAAAUGCUUACCUUCUAA
rnacentral:lncRNA from 1 species